rnacentral:rRNA from 1 species
GUCCAGACUCCUACGGGAGGCAGCAGUGGGGAAUAUUGCACAAUGGGGGAAACCCUGAUGCAGCGACGCCGCGUGAGCGAUGAAGUAUUUCGGUAUGUAAAGCUCUAUCAGCAGGGAAGAAAAUGACGGUACCUGACUAAGAAGCCCCGGCUAACUACGUGCCAGCAGCCGCGGUAAUACGUAGGGGGCAAGCGUUAUCCGGAUUUACUGGGUGUAGAGGGAGCGUAGACGGCAAUGCAAGCCAGAUGUGAAAGCCCGGGGCUCAACCCCGGGACUGCAUUUGGAACUGUGUAGCUGGAGUGUCGGAGAGGCAGGCGGAAUUCCUAGUGUAGCGGUGAAAUGCGUAGAUAUUAGGAGGAACACCAGUGGCGAAGGCGGCCUGCUGGACGAUGACUGACGUUGAGGCUCGAAAGCGUGGGGAGCAAACAGGAUUAGAUACCCCUGUA